CCACCCUAUCUUUUCUACAAAGCACGCUCUUCUUAAAGGAAAAGCGUUUGUGGGAAUCCUAUGCCCCUCUUCACUCUCCAUGUAUAUUCCUAUCACUUGCUGCUUGUUUGCUGUAUCCCCCUUUUUGCCAUGACUAGCUAGAUAAUCUUCCCACAUGUUAUCAUCACUCUCAGAAACCUGCAAAGUGGCAUCUGGCAAAGGGGAAUUUGAAGAUGAAUUUACAUUCUGUCAUUCUGGGGAUGGGUCUCACCCUUUAGCAACUUUCAAUAAAGAUGUGUUCAUGGAAGAGCUCACCUAACACAUUACAGAGGCAGAGGGUGCAAAGAUGCAAGACCCCCCAGCCCCGCCCCCCAUUCAUUCCCCUUACUCUUGUAUCAAAACUAUGACUUGACACAUCGUUCUGUACCCUCUGAUCCCUCCCCUCUAUCUGCCAUCAGCCUCAAGCCAAAAUCUUCUUGCCUUCUGUGUUCCUGCUUUUUCCCUGACCAAACUAAAAAACCAAUUAGUAACUGAUAAAAAAUAAUAAUAAAGUAAGAAGGUGACUGCUGAAACUUGGUCAAAAGUAUAUUCCUCUCUCCCCCUAAAAUGAAUUGAUAAUCCUAGCUGCUUCACAGCUUCUCUUUUCUAUGCCUUGAGGUUGGGCCAUUUUCUUCCUUUUCUUUAACUCUGCCCGAGUGAGUAGGGAUCACUCUACAUUUUGAUAACCAAAGAAAUGGAACUAGGCAUGGACUUUCUAUCUACAAUUCUCCAUAUACAUGGAGUAAUAAAAUCAUUUUUAUGUGAUGUAGACAGGAAAUAUGUUUAA